rnacentral:rRNA from 1 species
GAUGAACGCUGGCGGCGUGCUUAAUACAUGCAAGUCGAACGGAAAGGCCUCUUCGGAGGUACUCGAGUGGCGGACGGCUGAGUAACGCGUAGGAAUGUACCCCAAAGUGAGGAAUAACCUCGAGAAAUCGAGGCUAAUACCGCAUGUGCUCUAAGGAGUAAAGCUUCGGCGCUUUGGGAACAGCCUGCGUAAGAUUAGCUUGUUGGUGAGGUAAUGGCUCACCAAGGCGACGAUCUUUAGCUGGUCUGAGAGGAUGAUCAGCCAGACUGGGACUGAGACACGGCCCAGACUCCUACGGGAGGCAGCAGUAGGGAAUGUUCCACAAUGGACGAAAGUCUGAUGGAGCAACGCCGCGUGCAGGAUGAAGGCCCUUGGGUUGUAAACUGCUUUUAUAUGUGAAGAUAAUGACGGUAGCAUAUGAAUAAGGAUCGGCUAACUCCGUGCCAGCCGCCGCAGUAA